rnacentral:SRP_RNA from 1 species
GCUGGGCGCGGUGGCUCACGCCUGUAAUCCCAUCACUUUGGGAAGCUGAGGCGGGUGGAUCACCUGAGGUCAGGAGUUUGAGACCAGCCUGGCCAACAUGGUGAAACCCCGUCUCUA